GAGGGGUGCUAGCGUUAUUCGGAAUUACUGGGCGUAAAGGGUGUGUAGACGGCAUGUUAAGUCUGUUGUUAAAUUUCCCAGCUCAACUGGGAACAUGCGGUGGAAACUGACAUGAUAGAGGAUGGAAGAGAGAAGUGGAAUUCCCGGAGUAGCGGUAAAAUGCGUAGAUCUCGGGAGGAACACCAAUGGCGAAGGCAGCUUCUUGGUCCAUUCCUGACGUUGAAACACGAAAGCGUGGGGAGCAAACAGGAUUAGAUACCCUGGUAGUCCACGCCGUAAACGAUGAUCACUAGACGUCAGUCUGGCUUUGCCGGAUUGGUGUCGAAGCUAACGCGUUAAGUGAUUCGCCUGUGGAGUACGGUCGCAAGAUUA
rnacentral:rRNA from 1 species